GGGGAAUAUUGGACAAUGGGCGCAAGCCUGAUCCAGCCAUGCCGCGUGAGUGAUGAAGGCUUUAGGGUUGUAAAGCUCUUUCACCGAUGAAGAUAAUGACGGUAGUCGGAGAAGAAGCCCCGGCUAACUUCGUGCCAGCAGCCGCGGUAAUACGUAGGGGGCGAGCGUUGUCCGGAGUGACUGGGCGUAAAGCGCGCGCAGGCGGGCCCGCGCGUCGGGCGUGAAAUCCCCCGGCUCAACUGGGGCGGGUCGCUCGAGACGGCGGGCCUGGAGGCCGACAGAGGGGGGUGGAAGGCCGGGUGGAGCAGUGAAAUGCGUAGAGAUCCGGCGGAACACCGGAGGCGAAGGCGGCCCCCUGGGGCGGACCUGACGCUGAGGCGCGACGGCUAGGGGAGCGAA
rnacentral:rRNA from 1 species